rnacentral:rRNA from 1 species
UACGUAGGGCGCGAGCGUUGUCCGGAUUUAUUGGGCGUAAAGAGCUCGUAGGCGGCUUGUUGCGUCGACCGUGAAAACCCGGGGCUCAACUUCGGGCUUGCGGUCGAUACGGGCGGGCUAGAGUUCGGUAGGGGAGACUGGAAUUCCUGGUGUAGCGGUGAAAUGCGCAGAUACCAGGAGGAACACCGGUGGCGAAGGCGGGUCUCUGGGCCGAUACUGACGCUGAGGAGCGAAAGCGUGGGGAGCGAACAGG